rnacentral:rRNA from 1 species
CCUACGGGAGGCAGCAGUGGGGAAUAUUGGGCAAUGGGCGCAAGCCUGACCCAGCAACGCCGCGUGAAGGAAGAAGGCUUUCGGGUUGUAAACUUCUUUUCUCAGGGACGUAGAAAGUGACGGUACCUGAGGAAUAAGCCUCGGCUAACUACGUGCCAGCAGCCGCGGUAAUACGUCGGUGGCGAGCGUUAUCCGGAUUGAUUGGGCGCAAAGGGUGCGUGGGCGGUCUGCAAAGUCUGGGGGAAAAGGUACCGGUUCAACCGGAACAGGCUCUGGAAACUGGCGGGCUAGAGAGCAGGAGAGGGCGGUGGAACGCCAUGUGUAGCGGUAAAAUGCGUAGAUAUAUGGAAGAACACCAGUGGCGAAGGCGGCCGCCUGGGCUGUUACUGACGCUGAGGCACGAAAGCGUGGGGAGCAAACAGGAUUAGAUACCCCAGUAGUC